rnacentral:sRNA from 1 species
GCUGGGUGCAGUGGUGUAUGCCUGUGAUCCCAGUGGCUUGGGAGGCUGAGGCAGGAGGAUCACAAGUUCAAAACCAGCCUCAGCAAUUUAGUGAGGUCCUAAGCAACUCAGUGAGACUCUGUCUCUA